rnacentral:rRNA from 1 species
GCGGCAUGCUAAUACAUGCAAGUUGAACGAUGAUUUCUGGUACUUGUAUCAGAAUGAAGAGUAGCGAACGGGUGAGUAACGCGUGGGUAACCUACCUCUUAGCGGGGGACAACUAUUGGAAACGAUAGCUAAUACCGCAUAACAAUAUUAAACACAUGUUUAACAUUUGAAAGUACCAAUUGGUACACUAGGAGAUGGACCCGCGUUGUAUUAGCUAGUUGGUAGUGUAAUGGACUACCAAGGCGAUGAUACAUAGCCGUCCUGAGAGGGUGAUCGGCCACAUUGGGACUGAGACACGGCCCAAACUCCUACGGGAGGCAGCAGUAGGGAAUCUUCGGCAAUGGACGAAAGUCUGACCGAGCAACGCCGCGUGAGUGAAGAAGGUUUUCGGAUCGUAAAACUCUGUUGUUAGAGAAGAACGUUGUGUAGAGUGGAAAAUUACACAAGUGACGGUAUCUAACCAGAAAGGGACGGCUAACUACGUGCCAGCAGCCGCGGUAAUACGUAGGUCCCGAGCGUUGUCCGGAUUUAUUGGGCGUAAAGCGAGCGCAGGUGGUUUAAUAAGUCUGAUGUAAAAGGCAGUGGCUCAACCAUUGUGUGCAUUGGAAACUGUUAGACUUGAGUGCAGUAGAGGAGAGUGGAAUUCCAUGUGUAGCGGUGAAAUGCGUAGAUAUAUGAGGAACACCGGUGGCGAAAGCGGCUCUCUGGACUGUAACUGACACUGAGGCUCGAAAGCGUGGGUAGCAAACAGGAUUAGAUACCCUGGUAGUCCACGCCGUAAACGAUGAGUGCUAGUUGUUUGGGGCUAUCCAGCCCUAAGUGACGCAGCAAACGCAUUAAGCACUCCGCCUGGGGAGUACGACCGCAAGGUUGAAACUCAAAGGAAUUGACGG